GGCCUAUCCGGAGGCCCUGAUUGGUUAGUGAGACUUGAUUGACAUGAGCACCUCCCUUAGGGUUAGAGUGCACUGAAGGCACACAGCAUAGGGCUUCCAAGAUUGGGU
ensembl:miRNA Gm23739 predicted gene, 23739